GAAUAUUGGACAAUGGGCGCAAGCCUGAUCCAGCCAUGCCGCGUGAGUGAUGAAGGCCCUAGGGUUGUAAAGCUCUUUCGACGGGGACGAUAAUGACGGUACCCGUAGAAGAAGCCCCGGCUAACUUCGUGCCAGCAGCCGCGGUAAUACGAAGGGGGCUAGCGUUGUUCGGAAUCACUGGGCGUAAAGCGCACGUAGGCGGAUUGUUAAGUCAGGGGUGAAAUCCCGAGGCUCAACCUCGGAACUGCCUUUGAUACUGGCAAUCUUCGAGUCCGGGAGAGGUGAGUGGAACUCCGAGUGUAGAGGUGAAAUUCGUAGAUAUUCGGAAGAACACCAGUGGCGAAGGCGGCUCACUGGCCCGGUACUGACGCUGAGGUGCGAAAGCGUGGGGAGCAAACAG
rnacentral:rRNA from 1 species